rnacentral:rRNA from 1 species
GACGAACGCUGGCGGCGUGCUUAACACAUGCAAGUCGAACGAAGUGGCGAACGGGUGAGUAACGCGUAAUCAACCUGCCCUUCAGAGGGUGACAACAGUUGGAAACGACUGCUAAUACCGCAUCCUGAAGGAGGGGAUUGCGUCGGAUUAGCUAGUUGGGGGGGUAACGUCCCACCAAGGCGAACAUCAGUAGGCGGGCUGGGAGGAUGGACGGGCCACUUGGGACUGGAAACAGGCCCAGAAUCCUACGGGGGGGAGCAGGGGGGAAACUUCCGCAAUGGAGGAAAGGCUGGCUGAGCAACGCCGCGGGAGAGAUGACAGGCUUCGGGUUGUAAAGCUCUGUUAAUCGGGACGCGGUACCGGAAUAGAAAGCCACGGCUAACUACGUGCCAGCCGCCGCGGUAAUAC